rnacentral:rRNA from 1 species
AUUAGAUACCCUGGUAGUCCACGCCGUAAACGAUGUCGACUUGGAGGUUGUGCCCUUGAGGCGUGGCUUCCGGAGCUAACGCGUUAAGUCGACCGCCUGGGGAGUACGGCCGCAAGGUUAAAACUCAAAUGAAUUGACGGGGGCCCGCACAAGCGGUGGAGCAUGUGGUUUAAUUCGAUGCAACGCGAAGAACCUUACCUGGUCUUGACAUCCACGGAAGUUUUCAGAGAUGAGAAUGUGCCUUCGGGAACCGUGAGACAGGUGCUGCAUGGCUGUCGUCAGCUCGUGUUGUGAAAUGUUGGGUUAAGUCCCGCAACGAGCGCAACCCUUAUCCUUUGUUGCCAGCGGUCCGGCCGGGAACUCAAAGGAGACUGCCAGUGAUAAACUGGAGGAAGGUGGGGAUGACGUCAAGUCAUCAUGGCCCUUACGACCAGGGCUACACACGUGCUACAAUGGCGCAUACAAAGAGAAGCGACCUCGCGAGAGCAAGCGGACCUCAUAAAGUGCGUCGUAGUCCGGAUUGGAGUCUGCAACUCGACUCCAUGAAGUCGGAAUCGCUAGUAAUCGUGGAUCAGAAUGCCACGGUGAAUACGUUCCCGGGCCUUGUACACACCGCCCGUCACACCAUGGGAGUGGGUUGCAAAAGAAGUAGGUAGCUUAACCUUCGGGAGGGCGCUUACCACUUUGUGAUUCAUGACUGGGGUGAAGUCGUAACAAGGUA